GGAAGGGUGGCUGAGCGGUCGAAAGCGGCAGUCUUGAAAACUGUUGUCCCGAUUUAUCGGGACCGUGGGUUCGAAUCCCACCCCUUCCGCCA
rnacentral:tRNA from 1 species